UACGUAGGUGGCAAGCGUUGUCCGGAUUUACUGGGCGUAAAGAGCGCGCAGGCGGUCGUUCAAGUCGCGUGUGAAAGCCCCCGGCUCAACUGGGGAGGGUCACGCGAUACUGAUCGACUCGAAGGCAGGAGAGGGUAGUGGAAUUCCGCGUGUAGCAGUGAAAUGCGUAGAUAUGCGGAGGAACACCGAUGGCGAAGGCAAUCCCCUGGGCCUGCACUGACGCUCAUGCACGAAAGCGUGGGGAGCAA
rnacentral:rRNA from 1 species